rnacentral:rRNA from 1 species
AACGAACGCUGGCGGCAUGCCUAACACAUGCAAGUCGAACGAGACCUUCGGGUCUAGUGGCGCACGGGUGCGUAACGCGUGGGAACCUGCCCUUAGGUUCGGAAUAACUCCCCGAAAGGGGUGCUAAUACCGGAUAAUGUCUUCGGACCUAAGAUUUAUCGCCUUUGGAUGGGCCCGCGUUGGAUUAGCUAGUUGGUAGGGUAAAAGCCUACCAAGGCGACGAUCCAUAGCUGGUCUGAGAGGAUCAUCAGCCACACUGGGACUGAGACACGGCCCAGACUCCUACGGGAGGCAGCAGUGGGGAAUAUUGGACAAUGGGCGAAAGCCUGAUCCAGCAAUGCCGCGUGAGUGAUGAAGGCCUUAGGGUUGUAAAGCUCUUUUACCCGGGAUGAUAAUGACAGUACCGGGAGAAUAAGCUCCGGCUAACUCCGUG